CAGUUUAGAUCCCUUUAUUUUCAACCAAGGUAAAGACUCUGAAGGGGAGAAGAAUAAAACAAGACUGGGCAAAUUCAGUAGCUCUACAGAAAGGCUCUCCCCACCUAUUAAUUUCUCAGGGUAUGACAAGGGCCUGUUUUUGUUCUGAACUACUUCCUCCUGAUCUUAGUGAAAAAGGCUAAUAUUUAUUCAGCAGUUAUUAUGUUCCCGGCAUUGUCUUAAGAAUUAAAGUAGCUCAUUGGAUUACCACAAUAACUAAGAUUCACCCCAUGUUAGAUUUAGAAAUUGCAACCAAAAAGGCUAGGCAACAUUCCCUGGGUCUCCCAAUGCAAUGGGCAGAAUGUAGGGGACAGCAGGACCACAGAGACCCCUGACCCAUCCCACCACUCUCCCCCGCCAUCUACAUCUAGACAAUUAUUUAGUAAAAUCCUUGCCAACUCUAGCACACCAUCAUCUCUGGUCUCAUCUCUCGUGUUCAACUUUAUUCUUCAGCUUUCAGACUCACUGAUAGGGUCCUUUCACAUUAACUCUUAACAGGAUGUCAUUCAAUUUCAUUUUUUGAACCAUAAUAAUUCACUCGUAAGAGAACAUAUUAAAAACCAGCAUGUUACUGACAAGAAACUGUAGACCUUGAAGGGGUUGUAUCUUCCUGUUUGUGAGUCCACCUACUCAGAAAUGGCAACAAAACUGAUAGAGCACAACCAGUCUCAUUUUUUUCCCGGUGGCCCAGCCAAUAAAGACAAAAAUGUAAAUAAUUUGAUGUGUGGAUAUACACAUAAAUAGAAUUUUUUCAACUCCCCAUUUCCACCCCAGCCAUCCCUUUUACCAUUCUGACAGCUGUUAAGAUUUCCCCAUCAUGUGUGAAAUUCAUUUUUAUCAGGCCUUUUUCUCCCUGAACUUGUCUUUCAUGGAUGAGGACCUAAUCACCCUUAGAUCCUGUUAUUCUGUUGUCUAUGUCAGCUGCUCUAAUAUCCCCACAGUGACAGGAAAAAGAUAUUUAAGAUCACUAGAAAGAAGGGCAAAUAAAUAGGAAAAGAGAAAGCUUUUAUGAAACAUAGGAAGUUGAAAGUCAGAUGUUUUAAGGGAAUUUAUUUUUGGUUAUCGGAACCGCUUUUUAGAAUUCUCAUAAUUUUAUUUCCUUGUAUGGUUCUUUUGAAUACUAUCUACAUUUUUUGGCCUAGUGAAAGGAAUACAACCUGGUUAGAAAGACUUUUUUAAGAGAGGCUCUGUCACAAUCUAGGCGUGUAAUCCCAGCAAGUUAUUUAACUUACCUCAGCCCCAGUUUUUUCAUCUAUUAAAUGGAGGUAAUCACACAUACAGAAAAUGUUGUUGUAAAGAGUAAAUUAAGUUAGGUAUAUACAGAAUGUAGGGCAGAGAAUGGAACAUAGUGUACAUAAAUGCAAAUAUCUAAAUACUUAGUAGACAUAUGAUAGCUGCUCUUCCAUGUUCAUGCAUGUUCACCUAAUAUGUAACAUGGAUUUACAAUUAUCACAACACAUAUGUAAAUUUGAACAUGUCGUCUCCAGAAAAAUAACUUAUUAGCAGUGAUUAUAUAUCCAUAGACAGAAAGGAAUAAUUUGAAGGAUGAGAUCACUUCUUGUUUAAUGAAGACAUUAAAAAAUAAAGCAAACCUGAAAAUGCCAUACUUCAAAAUAAGUUCUAACAACCUAAAUGUCCAUCGAUGGAUGAAUGGAUUAAGAAGAUGUGGUGUAUAUACACAAUGGAAUACUACUCAGCCACAAAAAAAUAAUGCCAUUUGCAGCAUCAUAGAUGGAACUGGAGACUCAUAAUAAGUGAAGUAAGUCAGAAAGGGAAAGACAAAUACCAUAUGAUAUCACUUAUAUCUGGAAUUUAAUAUAUGGCACAAAUGAACCUUUCCACAGAAAACAAAACCAUGGACAUGGAGAAUAGACUUGUGGUUGCCAAGGGGAAGGGGGAGGGAGUGGGAUGAACUGGGAAUUUGGGGUUAAUAGAUGCAAACUAUUGCCUUUGGGGUGGAUAAGCAAUAUGCAGAAUGAUGUCCUUGCAAUUUCAUAUGGACACAAGAAUAAACUAAAAAUAGAAAUAGAAGCAUCCUCUUUGCUGAUCUUGAAUAUCCAGAGGGAGUUUCUAUUCGGUGGCAUAAAAACCCUAACUCAUAGUAAAUUUCUGUUUCUGGGAGGAUGCUGAUUCUAAUAACAUAACACAGAAAUACCACGUAAAUAUUUGGGAGGGGAGGCUAUAUCAUGAACAUUUCUCCAAUAUAUUUUAACUUGCCAGUUGAUUCAUUUAAAAUCAGAAUUAGCGCAAUUAUAACAAAAAAAUAUGAAGCUUCAAAAGCAGAAAAGUCUGGCUAUCUAUUAAUGUCAUAAAAUCUGAUUCUAACUCCUUAUAUAACUGAACAGAAAAAGAAAUUGUUUUACAAAUUUAAAGAUGUCUCAUAUGUUCAUUGCAUUUCUAUAAUUUCCUCUUUUAAAAAGGCUGUUUGUAUCAUUUCCUUUGUUUAAUUUAUAUAUGUUCUUUUGGCAUUCACUGCUUGCUUUUCCUCAUCAAUGCCUAAGCCUCCAUGUGACCCAUCCAAGAUCUUGGAGAUAAGUUGAGCUCUAAAAUGGCUUGCAUUUUAUACAAAACAAACUUACAGUUACCAAAGGGGAAAGUGAGGGAGGAAUAAAUUAGGAGCAUGGGAUUAAUGAUGAACACUACUAUAUAUAAAAUAAAUAAACAACAAGUUCCUACUAUAUACAGCAGGGAACUAUAUUCAAAAUCCUGUAAUAGCCUAUAAUGAAAAAGAAUCUGGAAAGAUUAUACAUAUAUAUAACUGAUUCAGUUGUUAUCAAACAGUCCAAUAGAGAGAAGACUUCAGACCAGCAGUGGCGUACCCCAUAAGCCAGACCUUACCACCUCUGGGAGCCUUGGAAACCUGCACUGAAGCACAUCUGCCACUCUUCUGAUCCACCACCCAUUCCUGCUCAGCCCACACCUUCCUCAGGUUGCAUGGUGGGGUACUAGCAGAGGUGCAGGCUGCAGAGACAGGGACUUCUCUGAUGGUCAGCUUUGGCUCCAGAUCUCCCUUUCAGCUUGGAUAAAACCUCCUUAAAACACUGCCACAGUCUGAGACUCUUCUCACCCGAUCCUUUUUCUUUCCAUGGAUGUCAGACCCUGGAUUUAAGUCUGGCGUUCCUCCCUGCCU
rnacentral:lncRNA from 1 species